AGUGAACGCUGGCGGUAUGCCUAACACAUGCAAGUCGAACGGCAGCACAGUAAGAGCUUGCUCUUACGGGUGGCGAGUGGCGGACGGGUGAGGAAUACAUCGGAAUCUACUUUUUCGUGGGGGAUAACGUAGGGAAACUUACUCUAAUACCGCAUACGACCUACGGGUGAAAGCAGUGGAUCUUCGGACCUUGCGCGAUUGAAUGAGCCGAUGUCGGAUUAGCUAGUUGGCGGGGUAAAGGCCCACCAAGGGGACGAUCCGCAGCUGGUCUGAGUGGAGGAUCAGCCACACUGGAACUGAGACACGGUCAAGACUCCUACGGGAGGCAGCAGUGGGGAAUAUUGGACAAUGGGCGCAAGCCUGAUCCAGCCAUACCGCGUGGGUGAAGAAGGCCUUCGGGUUGUAAAGCCCUUUUGUUGGGAAAGAAAAGCAGCAGGCUAAUACCCCGCUGUUCUGACGGUACCCAAAGAAUAAGCACCGGCUAACUUCGUG
rnacentral:rRNA from 1 species